rnacentral:rRNA from 1 species
UGCCAUCCGCCGCGGUAAUACAGAGGGUGCAAACGUUGUUCGGAAUUACUGGGCGUAAAGCGCGUGUAGGCGGCAUGGCAAGUCGGAUGUGAAAUCCCGGGGCUCAACCCCGGAAGUGCAUUCGAAACUGCUAAGCUAGAGUUCUGGAGAGGAAGGUGGAAUGCUUGGUGUAGAGGUGAAAUUCGUAGAUAUCAAGCGGAACACCGGUGGCGAAGGCGACCUUCUGGACAGUGACUGACGCUGAGACGCGAAAGCGUGGGGAGCAAACAGGAUUAGAUA